rnacentral:rRNA from 1 species
AUUGAACGCUGGCGGCAUGCUUUACACAUGCAAGUCGAACGGCAGCGCGGGCUUCGGCCUGGCGGCGAGUGGCGAACGGGUGAGUAAUACAUCGGAACGUGCCCAGUAGUGGGGGAUAGCUCGGCGACAGCCGGAUUAAUACCGCAUACGACCUGAGGGUGAAAGCGGGGGAUCUUCGGACCACGCGCUAUUGGCGCGGCCGAUGGCAGAUUAGCUAGUUGGUGGGGUAAAGGCCUACCAAGGCGACGAUCUGUAGCUGGUCUGAGAGGACGACCAGCCACACUGGAACUGAGACACGGCCCAGACUCCUACGGGAGGCAGCAGUGGGGAAUUUUGGACAAUGGGCGAAAGCCUGAUCCAGCAAUGCCGCGUGUGUGAUGAAGGCCUUCGGGUUGUAAAGCACUUUUGGCGGGAACGAAAAGGACUGUGCCAAUACCACGGUUCGAUGACGGUACCCGCAGAAUAAGCACCGGCUAACUACGUG